rnacentral:rRNA from 1 species
GCAAAACGCACUUAAAGUCUGACCCCCCGAAACUAAGCGAGCUACUCUAAAACAGCCACAGAACUAACCCAUCCCUGUUACAAAAGGGUGGGAUGAUUUUAAAGUAGAGGUGACACACCUAUCGAGCUUANAGAUAGCUGGUUAUUCAAAAGACGGAUAUGAGUCCAACUUUAAGCUUCCUUUAGUAGUACUAAACACUCACAAGCUUAAAARCCAUUCAAAUAAGGUACAGCCUAUUUGAACAAGGAAACAACCUACAACACAGGGUAAUGAUAGUAUACAUGACCAAGUANGCCUAANAGCAGCCAACUUUCAAAAAGCGUCUAAGCAUCAUCACAACAUAUUC